UCUGCGCCUCAAGAGGCAUUGCGGGUGUGGCUGCUGUGCCACUUGUGCGCCAGUAGGUGGCAGAGAGGAGAGAGGCUGUGUCUAUGCUCAGUGUUCUGACCUGUGUACGUCUGAAAGAUUGGUAGCCUAACACU